GGGCUCACAACUGUCUCCUCACACAGGAAAGAGGUCUCUGGGGAAGGCAGAGCUCUGUCUAGAAGAAGAUGAGAGUGCUGGGACUCCUCCUGUGCCUGGUGACAGCCCCCCAAGGUGUCCUGUCCCAGGUGCAGCUGCAAGAGUCAGGCCCAGGACUGGUGAAGCCCUCACAGACCCUCUCCCUCACCUGCACUGUGUCUGGAUACUCCAUCACCAGUGGUUACUGCUGGCACUGGAUCCGCCAGCCUCCAGGGAAAGGGCUGGAGUGGAUUGCGUGCAUAUGUUAUGAUGGGAACACUUACUACAGCCCGUCCCUCAAGAGCCGCACCUCCAUCUCCAGAGACACAUCCAAGAACCAGUUCUCCCUGCAGCUGAGAUCCGUGACCACCGAGGACACAGCUGUGUAUUACUGUGCAAGAGACACAGUGAGGGGAAGUCAGUGUGAGCCCAGACACAAACCUCCUGUGUGGAGACAAGGGGGCUGGAGUGCAGCAGUGCCUAGGACACCAGGGGGCGCUGAGGACACCGGGGACAGUGGAAAGCUACACUGACACUGGUCCACAGACUCUGACUCCCCAGGACCACUUUUCUGCCUCUGCUGCCCCUGCAUCAGCACCUGCUUCUCCACUGGUGACCACCACCCAGUGUCCUCCUUGGCACUGCCCUCGGCACUCCUGGCUGUGUGCUCUGAGAAUGGGGGCCUGUGGCCUGUAC